AAGAAAAAAAGAAAGAAAGAAAGAAAAAAGAAAAAGAAAGAAAGAAAGAAAGAAAGAAAGAGAAAGAAAGAAAGAAAGAAAAAGAAAAUUUCCUCCUACCCUUUGUGAUGUAAAAAGUCAGCAGGUUUCCAUUAGGGUUUGUGUGGGCAUUAACUUAAGUGAGAACCCCACCUUCACACCUUUGCUCAUAUGUGUAUGGUCCUUUGAUCCUAGAUAAUCUGCCUCUUCUCUUUCCCUUUUUGUGGGUCUAAAUUCUACUCCUUCUUUAAGCUCUAGACUUAAGAGUCUCUCCAUAAAGCCUCCCUUGAGGAUUCCAGUUCACUCUGACUUAUCUUUUUUUCUAAAUUCCUGUGGCAAACACACCUUGCAGGGACACCCCCCACCACCACCACCUCCCGGUGAGUCACACGCUUGUGUAAUCUCCUCCCCUUGCCUGUGGGCAGGACUUGUGACUUUCUUCUACGCAACAGAAUGUGGCAAAGGUGAUGUGUGUCACUCCCAUGCUAACAGUUACAUUAUGUAACACUUCCCAGCAAACUAGGAUGAAGGAGUCUCCCGCUGGCUCUGAGUUAGAAAGCUGCGGUGUUCUGAUCUGCCUAUGGAGAAGGCCCACGGCAGGGAGCUGCAGGAGCCUCUAAGAACGGAGACUUGCCCCCAGCUGACAGCCAGAAAGUAGGGGCCCUGUGUCCCGUGCCUACAAGAAGUUCUGCUGCUGACCACAUAAGCUUGGAAGGGGAUCCUGGGCUCCCCUAAGGAACAUAGCCCAGCCAACGCCUCGAUGGCAGGCUUGUGAGACCCUACAGUGGACCCAGCUGAGUCCAGACUCCUGACCCACAAAAACUAUGAAAUAAUACAUGUGUGUUGUUUUAAGGGGCUAUGUGUAUGGUCAUCUGUUGCAUGGCAGCAGAAAACCAAUGUAACCCCUGUGUAUUUAUGACAUGGCACUCCGUUUCAAUGGUGAUCAUUUAACGUCUAGUCCAGCUUUACCUUUCCAGUCUGAACAUGAGUUUCUGGAAAACAAGGAACUUGUCACAUGUGACUUGUGUCCUCAGAGAGUGGGAGAGUGAGAGGCACAAGAGAAGGAGUACUGAUGGAAUCUUAGUCCAGAAAAGGACCAGAAAGUGUCUAAUAACAGCUGCUGUAUGGGAGUAAAAUGAGUGAUAUGUGGAAAACACGUAACAUAAUGCUUAGUAUAUAGUUAUCAUUAAUAUAUAUACUAAUAGAUACCACAUCUAGCCCCAUUCCCUCAUUUUGCUGAUGAAGAAAUAGCUCCCUCCACUACCACUCUCUAAAAAAACAAAUAGACCGAGCAAUGUAUCACAACUUGUCAAAGGUCCCUCAGCAGAUCAGUGGCCAGAACUCAACACUAAGAAAGAAAAAUGAAAUGGCUUAAAUGAGGCUAGAAGGCAUGUCAUUACCCAUGGACUCAUGGGUUGAAGAAAACAAAAAGAGAGUCCUUUUUUUAGACCCUUUUCCUAAUUCUGAGUCUUCUAUCCUCCUCACUAUUUUUUCUGUACUUUCUCCAUGAAGACCACAUGAAAAAUUAUUUAUUUAUUUAUUUUUGGUAAAUUGAGUAACUGAUUUGCAAGAGUGAAUAAUACCUACAGAAUAAAGGGUAUAUGAAUCAAAUUUCUUUUAGUUGCAAGUGACAGAAACUUAAUUCAAACUAGCUUAAGCAAAAAAAAAGAGAAUUUAUGGGUUCACAUAACUAAGAAGGACACUGGGUAUUCAUGUUAACUAUAGCUGUGUAACAAACCAUCCCAAAACUUAGUGGCAUGAAACCAUCAUUUUAUUAUGCUUAUGGCCCUGUGGGUCAGGAAUUCUGAUAGGACACAUAGGGAUGACUGGUUUCUGCCCCACAGUGCCUGGGGCCUCAGCUGGGAAGACUCAAAAGCUAAGGGUGACUGGAUGCCUGAGGUCAUCUGGGAGUGUUUUACUCCUGGCAAUUGAGGCUGGCUGGCUACUGGGACUUCAGCUGGGGCUGUUUGCCUGACCGCCACACAUAGCCUCUUCAUGUGGUUUCUUCUUCUUGGCUUCUUCAAGCGUGGUGUCUGAGUUCCAAAAUCAAAUGUCCUGGAAGAAUUAAGCAGUGAUGCAUGGAAUUUUUAUGACUCAGCAUUGAAAGUCACAUGACAUCACUCCACCAUAUUGCUUUGGUCCUGGUGGUCAGAAAGGUCUGCUCAGGUACAAUAGGAGGGGACACAGACACAACCACUAGAUGAGAAGAGUGUCAAUUUUGCAACAUAAUCAGAGUAUGUGGGAUGGGAUAUAGCAAGUGGCCAUCUCUGAAAAAUACAAUCUGCCAAACUGGGAUGGCUGCUUGAUUUAAACCAAGCACUAUAGGAACCACGGCCGUAGGGACAGACACAGAGAACCCAGGACCACCUAAUUCUUUCUCAUCUGCCUUUCAUUUUUGUUCAUCUCUUCUUCUCUUUAUCUAUUAGUGAAAAACACCUUAUCUUUCUCAAAAUCCAAAUAUUUCUCAGGGAAGAACUUUGACCCUUUCAUGUGCCCAUCACCUGGACCAAUUAAAGUUGCCUGGACAAAGAACUAGGAUUGUCCAAACCUGGAUCACUCAUCCACGUCACAAGCCAAAAGAAAGCUUUUGGGUAAACUAUACCAAGUAGCUGGCACCACCUACCACGGGCUUCACUUCGGUGAGCGCUGGCAUCAGCUUAGUGUGUGGCCAUGAUCAUGUCACUCUAGCAGCAACCAGUGGCCGCGAUAUUUCAGAGCCCUUCACCUGGCCAUCUUCAUAUCAUGCCCUUGUCUCCCACUUUGCUACAUACCACCUCUCCAAGAUUUGCUGGGCUUCCUCUUGGAAGGAAAAGCUCCCUGGCUCUUACAGCCACACUGGCUUGUUUUUUUCCAUCAGCCCCUCUCACCACACCUCUUCUGUUUCAGAGGGUCAUUCCCAAAUAACAUUUUUCACUGUCCUUCCAGUUGUAACUCCCAAGGCAGUGGUCACUGUGUUAUCUGUGUCUCUCUUCGUUUUCUCCAAUGCCCCCCACUUUUUCCUCAAAAUCAAACUUAAUUUUCCAUGGGUCCUUUUUCCCAGAAAUUACUUCCCAGAGCCAACAGUUCAGAAAUAAUACAAUAGGUUGGGAGAUCACAUAGCAGAAAGACCAGUCCUGAGUCACUAGCAUCAUCCAGUGGAAAAAGGGAGUGAGACUUGUAUCCUCUGCAUUCCUGCUUAGCUGUAAUCCUUAACAUGUCAUUCAGUACGUUUUUGGCUGCAAGUACAGAAAAUUUUAAAGUGCUUUAAACGACAAGGAAAUUUAUGAUCUCACAUAAAUAGCAAGAUUAAGGUGGGGAGUUCCAGUGUUGAUUAACUCGGCAGCUUAUUCAUAUCAUCAAGGAUCAGAUUCCUUCCAUCUCUCUCCUUUGCCACUUCAACAUUUGGCUGACUCCUCCCAUGGUGGCAAGAUGGCUGCUGAGUUACACGCGUCACACACACAUGUGACCACUUUAAGAAGCAGAAAAUAGGAAGUUUCUUCUUGUGUCUACUUGUAAAAGCAAAGGAACUCUUUCUAAAAGUCUUGCAUCAGUUUUCUCUAAUGUCUCAUUGGCCAAAAGUGUAUCACCUAAACCAAUCAUUGGCAAAGGAACUGAAAUUACUGUGAUUGAUUCAAACUAAUCAAGACUUACUCAUGGAGCUAAGAGUAGUCCCUGGCAUAGCUUGCCAGUAAAUGGGAGAACAAAAUUGGGGCUCUGCCAAAAGAAAGAAGGGUGUGAGGGAUAUAGAUUUGGAGACGCAGCCUGUCAUAUCGAUGCACUUAUCUUCUCUUCAACUCGGUUUCUCCGACUGUAAACUAGAGAUGAUGAUGCCUACUUAAUCUAUACAUGGAGAUACUUUAAGAAAUAAGAUUUUGCAGGAUACACUUACAAAACAGUGUGGCUCAUCGGUUAAGCAUCCGACUCUUGAUUUCGGCUCAGGUCAUGAUAUCAGGGUUGUGAGAUCAAGCCCUGCAUGGGGCUCUGUGCUGGGCAUGAAGCCUGCUUAAGAUUCUCUCUCUCCCUCUGCCCCUCCCCGCCUCUAAAAAAAAAAAAUAAUAAUAAUAAAACAAUGAGGCACAUGCUACAACGCCCAUGAAUCUGAAAGAUGUGCUAAGUGAAACCAGCCCGUCACAGAAGAACAAAUAUGGUAUGAUUCCACUUAUAUGAUUCCUAGAGUAUUCAAAUUUAUACAGAAAGUGGAAUGGUAGUUGCAGUGGCUGGGGGAGGAGGAAAUGGGGAGUUAGUGUUUAAUGGGUUCGGAGUUUCAGUUGGGGAAGAGGAAGAAGUUCUGGAGGUGGAUGGCGGUGACGGUCGAACAACAACGUAAAUAUACUUAUUGCCACAGAAUUAUACACUUAAAAGUCGUUAGAAUGAUAAGUUUUAUGUCUAUUUUAUCACAAUAAAAAUUUAAUAAAAUAGUGAGGCUAUUUAAGAUAUACAAUGAAGGAACUUCACUAAACUUGAAAAAGGUACAAAUGUAUAAUACAAAUUCAUGGUUCCCUCGGAUAACCUAAUGUUGAGCUUUUGCCCAUUUUAAUUUGUGGGUGAGAAUCAUUUCCUAGCCUCGGCAAUCACUACCGCCCACAUCACAUCUCAUCCUUCCCUCUUUUCUCAAACCCACUGUAACUCCCAAGGCAGUGGUCACUGUGUUAUCUGUGUCUCUCACCAGUCGUUUUGACUGGUGUGCAGAUGAAGAAAUUCCAUCCGCCAAAAGUGCCCUGCAAGGGAACCCCCACACACAGAAUGGAACCAGCUAUGAAACCUACUGCCUUUCCCCUUGAAGGUUACCUGCCCCUUCCUCCAUCUCCUAGUCCUCUUUCAGUACAGCUGGGUCUCCCCACACCCAUGCCAAGAGCCUUUGGGACAAGGAGGCAGAGAGGAAGACCCGGGGCUAGGAAAGGCACAGGCACUUAGCACCGGCAGGUGCUGGCAGCGCUCACAGAGCCUAUUUACUGACAACACAUAUCUACUAAUAUUUCCUAAUCCCUCAGAUGUUUGCAAAUGAGACCAAGCUGUGAGGAGCUGUGCAGAGAAGUGAGUUGUGUAUCCAACCCCAACAACCAUUCAUGGAGGGCCACGUCAUUCCACCGGAAGCUAGCAAAGCCGCACCCCAUGUCCAGUGCCCAGAGCUGAGUGCUUCUGUUACAUAAACUUAUAAUCAGAAGUCUCUGUUCAUAUUUAACCUACUCCCUCCAAACAGUCUUUUCCAAAACAUCUCGAUUAUGAAGAUCUUCAACAGGGAGCACACAUCACUCCCUUAACUGCAUGUCCCAGAGCUUAAUCACAGGAUCAGAAAAUUUCUCCUUACGUGUAAUCUUAUUCUUAAAAUAGAUUCUAGGCAAAUAGCCUCCAUUAAAAGCUUUGAAUGCUGUGUGCCUUUCAAAGCACAAACAUCGAAUGUUAGCAGUUUUCUGCAUUUAGCUCCUGAUACCAGGCAGUGCUCCAAGGCUCCCUUCAGGAAGGAUUUUGUUUCAUUCUGUGAUCCUGGUCAGUCACCUCGCAAAACACUGUGCUGGUUACAGGAAAGAGAAUCCAUUUCUGUUCAGCUGGCAUUGGCUGAGUAUCCACAAUGGGCCAGGCACUGGGCCAAGGCUGGAGACACAGGGAUAAAUCAUUAGCCCUGCCCUGCAGGAAUUCUCAGGUCUGGGGGGGAGAGGCAGACAUGAAAACAAACAAUUAUUGCAGAAUGGGAUAAGUUUUGGACCAGCUGCUAUGGGAGCACUGAUUAAUUGUUGGGGAUCCUCUGGGGAGUCGGGAAGACUUCACCAAACCGUGUCAUUUGAGUGGGGUUUUGAAGGUUGAAAAGAAGCUUGUUAGAAAGCUAAGGCAAGGCAGAGAGUGCCAGGCAGAGGGAACAGCAAAAGCAGAGAGGUGGGGAAGGACACAGUCUGUUUUGGAAACUCACAAGGUGAUAGAGGUCCAGAAAUGAGGCUGGAUGAGUAAGGCAGUGAGCCGCUUAAUCCCAACCAUCACCCCUUCACAGCCCUUGGGCAGGUCAUCUGGAAGCUAUGGGCUUUCGUGAUGAUCUGAAAUGUGAUUAUUGCUGAUUGGAAUUCUGGAAGAGGAUAAGCCAAGCCAGUACCCAGUCCUCCUUGACAUCCUCACCGAGCUUCCUCUCCUUUCCACAUAUUAAUGUGUCCAGGCUGGUGCUCUUCAUUCGAUGACACAUGAUAAUUUGGGUUAUUUUACUCUAUCUCAAAAAAACAAACAAAAAAAUAGUGGUAGCUUGGCUGAGCUCUUUGGAAACUUCCAGAACUAAUUCUUUCCUGAGUAAGGGCUUACUAAACAUGAGCAAAAUAAACUGAAACUUCUCAAGUAGCUUUAGGAAAUGCUGGUCUAACACAUGAGCCUCACAAACAAGGUUUUAAAAUCACCUUUUAGCCUGCCAAACUUUUUAUCAGCCUGUAAAAUGCUCCCAGCUCUUCUCAAAGCUCUGCCUCUGAUGAUGUGAGCUACUGUAGGCAACUUAAACUGGGACAGGGAUACAUUUUCAAUUUUUCAUAAAAUAUUUACUUUCCUAGAAUCCAAUUUCUUUUUAGCCCUCGUCUUUCAUCUUUUUGAUGCUAGACUUAAUUUGCAAAAUUGCUCCCUUGUCUCACCCCAACCCUGCUGGCUGCCCUUUGCUAAAGAAGUGAGUUUGCCAUUUACAACAGAACUCCGGGACCCCAGGGAAGGUCCAGGACAGAGCCUGCCUCUUCUCUUCCUGUGGGGCCCGCCACGGCCACCUGCCCAGGUGCUCGAGGACCUACUGCCCUCUUGUGGCUGCAAUGUGCGGUGCAGCGGUACCUCUACUUGGCAAACAAAAAAUUCUUCUCUGUUUUUCAGGUUUGCUGAGUAAACGUGCUCUGAAAGCGUUCCCCCACAAGACCCACACCAUUUUAGAGCUGAAAGUGACCUUAGUCCAACCCCCAUUUUUUUGGCUUUCUUUUUAAAGAGAAGGAACCCAAGGAUCAGAGAGGUUCUGUCACUUGGCCAAGGACACAUCCCAGUUAGAGAAGAAGCCUGGGAUGGAACUCCCAUCCUCAUUGGAAGACAAGGAAGGAAGAGGGAGUUGCCAUUUGAAGUUUAGAAAGACACGAUGAUGCUGAAGAGUUGCAGACUUGGUGAGCCAGGAACCAACUAAGAGAGAAGAUGAAAGUAAUUUAAAAAAAAAAAAAAAGGAAAGGAAAAGAAGAGAAAAGAAAAGAAGAAAAGAAAAAAGAAACAGAAGUAGAACGCCAUCUUCAGCACAGAGGAGAAUACAGGUUUCUUCUCAACCAGUAAAGACUUACUGAGCAUCAACUUUGUGGCAUAGUAAAGGCAGCCAUUGCGGGGACGGGAGAUGGCCCUGACCUUUAAGAGCUUGCAGUCUAGUUGGGCAAGCAAACAUAAGCAAAGUCUGGAUUACAAUGUCUACGCCCUAGAACGGGGUGGUACAGAUCAUUUGUGUUGAGUUCAGAAAGGGAACACACAGCACAGGCUUGAGAAUUCUGGGAAGCCUUCCUGGCAGAGGAACACAGGCCAUCUUGAAGCAUGAGUGAAUUUCCUUGAUGUUAUCUUUGAUUCUUUUCUCUCCAUGUCCUGCGUUCAGUUGGUCCGUCACCAGGACCUAACCCUUCUUUCCAAAUGGCUCUCACAGCAGUCCCUCACUUUCCAGUUGCGUGGCCAUUAGCCCAGGUCCUUCUCUCAUUACUUCAUGCCUGGAGGUGCCCUCACAGACUGUUAACUCGUCUCUCUGCCGGCAGCCUUUACCUCUUCAAUCUGCAUCGUCCACCUCUUUGGGAUUAGCCUUCAUUCCCACUUCCCUUCAACUGACAUUUAUUGAGCAUCUACUUUGUGCCAGGAACACACUUCUAUGCACUAGGGAUUCAGUGUUGAACAAGAUGGGCGAGGAAGACCCCUGUGCCCCUGAAACCUACUCACUAGUUUUAAAAGUCUCCAUCGGAGACCUGUUGCUGUAAUGAUUAGAGUCCGGACUCUGGGGGCAGUGCCCACCCUAGCUGCUUCCCCUGCCCGCUAGGCCCCCACUACUCCUCCAGCAGGACUCUUCAACUGUGCUCACCAUCCCCCACACAGGCUGAUUAUUUCUAACUUGGGCUUUCUUUUUGCCCUUCCUCCUGGGACCUACCUGCCCGAAUCCUUCAGGGUCUGCUUCUAACCCCUCAUCCUCUCCACCCUUCUCUCACAGCACUACUUGCCUCUCUCGUGUUAGCAUUCCACACGUCGUUAUUUUUCCCCUACCUGCCCAAUGAGAUGGUAAGCUUCUGGAUUUUUCCAUUCUGAUCUCCCUUAGCACCUGGCACAAUACUGUGCAAGUAAUAGGUUUCUUUCUCUUUCUCCUCCUCUUCCUUUUUAAUUCCUAAUAAUAAAAACUAACAUCUGUAAAGCACUUUACAAAGAGUUUCCGUGAACAUUAUCUUCCACACGCUGCACAAUAUCCUUGUGUUGAUGAUCAGUAAAUAUCUAACAGGCUAACAGGUCAAACGAAGAAGGCAUUCCAGGUGAAGGAAACAACACCAGAACAUGUACAAAGACAGGAAUGAUCCCCACAGGAGCCGACGGCGGUGUGGGAAGCAGCCUUGCUGGAGGGAGAAGAAUGAGCGCCAUAGGAAGUUUGGGAAAUGAAGGGUCAAGAUAACACAAACCAAACAGAAAAACAAACCACGCUGCCCUAGCAUGAAGCACUGCAACAAAGCUCUUGCGCAGAGAGAAGAGGUAGAACGAAUCCAGGUCUUGAACGAGACUUCAAAGUACUCUACAAGCACCUGCCUGGGCCUGCAGCGCCGCUGACUUUCCUUUCACCUGAACCGAAGACUGAUCCUGUGUUGCUUAAGCCAGUUGGACUUGCAGCCCACGUUAUCCCCCCCCGACACCCUUGUCUCCCUUACUGCUGUCACCCUACUGGAAUCCUCAGUCCAAGGCUAAGUGGCGGCAGAGUGGGAGCUUAAGAAACGUGUGUAUGAACUAUUCAUUCUUACAUUGACCAGUGGUCCAAGGGGAUCUUAGUAUUUUUAUAUUUGCGCUUAUCAGUAAAAAUGCUACAUUUUCAUCAUCUUUGUCACUAAUAAUUCCUCAUUCACUUUUGGCCUCCUUUAGCUUAAUUCAGAAUUCCACAUUUUUGUGAAUUAAAUUUUUUUUAUUGAGGUAUAAUUGACAUAUACCUUCAUGACCUUUAGUACUAAAAUUCUAAAUGGAUCUCCUCUCAGAGUUAUUAUAUUUUUUCCUACAGUUAACUUGUAAUAUUUAAUUUAACUGGAAUUUAUCUAGGUGUACUGUUUAAGGAUAGAGCCCUCUACUUCCUCCCCCACACCCCAAAUUUUAACCAACUGUUCAAAUGCCUUUCUCCCCAUUGUUCUUUUUCUUUUUCUUUUUUUAAAAGAUUUUAUUUGUCAGAGAGAGAAAGGGCACAAGCAAGGGGAGGGGAAGGCAGAGCAGGCUCCCCACUGAGCAGGGAGCCCCUGCGGGCUCAAUCCCAGAACCCUGGGAUCAGGACCCGAACUGAGCCAAAGGCAGACGCUCAACUGACUGAGCCACACAGACAUCCCCCCAUUGUUCUUUUUAAAUGCUAAUAUAAAAUGGGGUCUAUUUUUGCCUAGCCAGUCUGUUAAAUUGAUGUGUAAGCUAUAUAAUGUUUUACUACCUGCCAAGACUAAUACUCCUCCCAAUUAAGCUCUGUCUUCAACAUUUUCUUUGCCGUCUCCCCUGUUUAUUCUUUCAGAUAAAUUUUAAAAUAAUUAUAUCCAAUUCUAAAAGGACUCUGUUGGGAUUUUCACUGUAAUUAUGCAAAGCCUGAAAAUAAAUUAAGAAAUAAUUGACAUCUUUACAAUUUUAACUUUGCCAGCCAGGGAAAUUUUUCUUCAUUGACUUUUCCCGUAUUUCUCAACAAAAUUUGGUCAUUGUCCUCACAUCGCUCGUUGACAUUUCCAAUAAAGGUGAUUUCUAGG